GAAGGUGAGGUGGAUUAAUGCUACUUUAGGAGACAGUCAAGAUUCCCAGCUGCAAAAUUACAUUUUCCUCUUGGCGGUUUUUGGUUUUUUUUGUUGUUUUUUUGGGGGGGGUCUGGCACGGUUUUCUCAGGGCAGCCGUCUGCUCCUGGGCUGAGCUGAGCCAAGGAUCCUGAGCAUGAAGCCUGUGCAGAGAUGCUGAGCAGAGCAGGCACGAGGUCUCUUGUGUACAGAGCUGGCCUGAGCUGGAGAAUUCCUGCAGCAGCGUCAUGGAAAACACCACAGCACAGAACGAGCUCCUAUAAGGCAGCUGAACAACCUGCUGUGCAGCCUUCCUCCACAGGGACUCAUGGGCAUAUUUUGAAAACCUCUUUACUCCAAGCCCCCACAAAAAAAGGAACCAAACAUGCUUUGGAAUAAGAGAAAGAAGAAAAGAGGAGCCACCAAGGAUCAGGACAGCGCCUGUGGGGCGGCGUGGGAGCCACAAAGGGAAGGAAAGCAGAGGCUCCUGCAGCAGCAGCAGCAGAGCCCAGCUGGCCCCUGUCCCUCCCGUGGAGCUCCACAGGAGCUCUGAGCCACGUGUGGCAGCCAGCCCAGGCUUUGGCAAGGCAGGAUGCUGUGCUGGGGUUAUUAGCAGGUUCCCAUAGCACUGCCCUCCCCAGGCAUCCUCCCCUGCCCACGCUGGCCUGCCUGGCACAGGCUGCUGGGCAUUCACCAGGAGCUCCGUCCCCAUUUCAGCUCCCAGCGCAAACACCAACGUGAAUCUUUGAGUAAACAGGCAGGCACUGGAGGGGAGGGAAGGAUUAAAAACUCCGAAUAAUGACUGAAAUGUCAGACAUUUAUUAUUAAGUCGGUCCCGAUGUUGACAGCUGAACAUUCAAUAUUAAAAGCAUCCUUGAUCAUAAAAGCCAAAGGCAAACCUGAUUCUUAAAUAUCCCAGUUGUUCUUUUAUGACCUAGUUUUUGAUGUCUUAAGGAGGAAAUAAAAUUUUGGAAAAUAUUUACAGACACGGGAAACGCGGGAUUUCAUCACGGCUGGUGACUCCACGGAUCUGCCUGGGGCAAGGACAGCAAUUAAAGAGCAGGAGGGCAAACAGGUCUCACAUUUCCCUUUGCAGAGGCAGGGCUGGAAGAGCAGGAAGUCACCAAGUCUCAGCGUGAGGCUUAGAGGGGCUCCAGUGGCUUUCAGGAUGUUCAAGGAGUGGUUAUGAGCGAGGCUGAGGUUUGACAAGCUUUGCCAGGAGCUAGAAAGGUGAAAUGAUCAGUGUUGUGUUGUGUGGCAGUGAAGCAGAAAUGCCAAAGAACUGCUCUGAAUAAUGCACAGUCUUUGUGGGUCAAAGUCUCCUAUAAGAAGGGCUGGUGGAAAAGGCUGGAUGGAAUUUACCCCAAGCAUCGGAUUUUGGGUUUGGAUUAGGGUAAGAGCAGAAGGCAGCAGUAGGAACAGGGAGAAGGAGAGAACGUCUGACCUACCCGGAGAUGGAAGGGAGGGAGAAAACUGUUUACUGAAGAUUGAGGCAAAACAGGACAAGUGCGGAGCUCUUGCAAUAUGUAAAAAGAUACUGAAAAAAGGAAGAAAAUGUUGAGUUUUUUUCCUCUGUGUCUUUCUUAGUUAGGAGAAGAUGUCACGAGCCAAACCAGAAAGACACAGAUGUUGGGAAAUGGUUUAUUGGGGAAGUUGUAGAAAUUCCAUUACUGGAAGCCUUCGAAAGUGGAAAAACACCUGACACAGCCUUGAGCUCCUUAGGCCCCUUCAAGCUUUAUUUUUACUAAUUGGUGAUAUUACCCUGAAGCUAAAGAGAUGGCACAGCUGUUGAUGGC